rnacentral:rRNA from 1 species
GACGAACGCUGGCGGCGUGCCUAAUACAUGCAAGUCGAGCGAAUCAAUAGGAGCUUGCUCCUGUUGGUUAGCGGCGGACGGGUGAGUAACACGUGGGCAACCUGCCUGUAAGACUGGGAUAACACCGGGAAACCGGUGCUAAUACCGGAUAAUCCUUUUCCUCUCAUGAGGAAAAGCUGAAAGUCGGUUUCGGCUGACACUUACAGAUGGGCCCGCGCCGCAUUAGCUAGUUGGUGAGGUAACGGCUCACCAAGGCGACGAUGCGUAGCCGACCUGAGAGGGUGAUCGGCCACACUGGGACUGAGACACGGCCCAGACUCCUACGGGAGGCAGCAGUAGGGAAUCUUCCACAAUGGACGAAAAUCUGAUGGAGCAACGCCGCGUGAGUGAUGAAGGCCUUCGGGUCGUAAAGCUCUGUUGUUAGGGAAGAACAAGUACCGGAGUAACUGCCGGUACCUUGACGGUACCUAACCAGAAAGCCACGGCUAACUACGUGCCAGCCGCCGCUGUAAAAC